rnacentral:rRNA from 1 species
AGAACGAACGCUGGCGGCAUGCCUAAUACAUGCAAGUCGAACGAACACUUCGGUGUUAGUGGCGCACGGGCGCGUAACGCGUGGGAAUCUGCCCUUGGGUUCGGAAUAACAGUUGGAAACGACUGCUAAUACCGGAUGAUAUCGAAAGAUCAAAGAUUUAUCGCCCAGGGAUGAGCCCGCGUAGGAUUAGCUAGUUGGUGAGGUAAAGGCUCACCAAGGCGACGAUCCUUAGCUGGUCUGAGAGGAUGAUCAGCCACACUGGGACUGAGACACGGCCCAGACUCCUACGGGAGGCAGCAGUAGGGAAUAUUGGACAAAUGGGCGCAAGCCUGAUCCAGCAAUGACCGCGUGA